GAAUUGCUGUCUUCGCCACCACUGAUUUACCCAGCUACAGAGACAAAGAGAGACAUGAAUACAGCAGCUACACCAGAGAAUGGUGUGUUGCCGUUAGCAUAAGGAUGGAUGCUUUACCGUGAUGACACGCAGGUUGAUGUCCUCAGGUUCGAGUGGACUGCAUACCACUGGAGACCACCAUGGGCCGACCUGAAUGGAGGGAACAAUAAUUAUAACUAGAUUGUAGUUUCAGAACAAUAAACACACU